rnacentral:rRNA from 1 species
AGUGAACGCUGGCGGUAGGCCUAACACAUGCAAGUCGAACGGCAGCACAGUAAGAGCUUGCUCUUACGGGUGGCGAGUGGCGGACGGGUGAGGAAUACAUCGGAAUCUACUUUUUCGUGGGGGAUAACGUAGGGAAACUUACGCUAAUACCGCAUACGACCUACGGGUGAAAGCAGGGGAUCUUCGGACCUUGCGCGAUUGAAUGAGCCGAUGUCGGAUUAGCUAGUUGGCGGGGUAAAGGCCCACCAAGGCGACGAUCCGUAGCUGGUCUGAGAGGAUGAUCAGCCACAUUGGAACUGAGACACGGUCCAGACUCCUACGGAGGCAGCAGUGGGGAAUAUUGGACAAUGGGCGCAAGCCUGAUCCAGCCAUACCGCGUGGGUGAAGAAGGCCUUCGGGUUGUAAAGCCCUUUUGUUGGGAAAGAAAAGCAGCAGGUUAAUACCCCGCUGUUCUGACGGUACCCAAAGAAUAAGCACCGGCUAACUUCGUG